rnacentral:rRNA from 1 species
GGAGUCUGGGCCGUGUCUCAGUCCCAAUGUGGCCGUUCACCCUCUCAGGCCGGCUAUGGAUCGUCGCUUUGGUGGGCCGUUACCCCGCCAACUGGCUAAUCAGACGCGGAGCCAUCUCACACCGAUAAAUCUUUUACCCCUGCGCCAUGCGGCACUGUGGUCUUAUGCGGUAUUACCAGCCGUUUCCAGCUGCUAUCCCCCUGUGUGAGCCAGGUUCUCCACGCGUUACUCACCCGUCCGCCACUAAGUUGUAUUUCCAUCAUCCGAAGAAUCUGUCUAUACAACUCCGUUCGACUUGCAUGUGUUAGGCACGCCGCCAGCGUUCAUC